AGUUCAGAAGAAGGGUUUGGCUUAUCUUUUUCCCUCUCUCUCUCUAGGAAUUUCUCUCUCUACAAGGAAUCGAGGGUUUAAGCUGGAUUCUACUCUUUGCUUGAUGUUGGUUGGCAGGGAGUGUCUUGGAGCUACUGUUGAAGGAGUUUUAAGGAGUAUUUCACAGCCUUGAACACUGAUAUAGCUGGUUGAGGUUUUGGAGAGCUGGUUGGGGAGAGUUUUCAGCAACUGUAGAAGCCAGGUUUUGAGAUUAUUUUCUACCCUAACUCAAGAGAAAAGCUGGAAUUAAACCUGGACUUGGCAGCUCACAUAGUGCUGAAUACUUGGCAGUGGUGGGCUGGAUUGAAGAUAUUUCAAUCAGCAGGAAGCCGAGAUACAACAGAUUUGCGACAGAUCGUCGAAUGGUUCUUAGCUGAUAUCCGAGAGCUUUCAAAGGUUCAAUUUGAUGUAAUAACUUGAACCAAAAUAGGGAUUCAAGCUAUAGCAUUGUGCAAGGACUUAUUUAAACAGAAUCGAGCCGAUCUUGAGCUGCUUCAACUUGGAUUGAAGUAGAGGUUAUAAACCUAGGGGACUUAGAAGCUUUGGACUUCACACUGUUACUAAUCCAAUCAGAGCUUCAACUAAUAAGUGGAUUUGACCUAACCAGAGCAAGUGAAGCUCCCCUAUGUUCUAUAUGUUACUAUAAAAUUGGUACAUUGGUACACUUUUAUGAUUAUGUGAUUGAUAAAGGACUUAAAACUCGUCAUCAUAAUGUUUGACAUAUUUGAAAUGAAAUCUCUAUGAAGUAGAGAACACUCAUGCAUAAAAAUACUUAUGUUAUGUUUAGUUCAGUUGAAUAACUAAGGGACACAUCUUUUAUGCUCCUAUAAAGUAGAGAAU